rnacentral:lncRNA from 1 species
AUGCAUGUCCUGAUUCCGCCACUAGAGGUCACUGUCCCACCACAAUCUCCCCACGCCGAGUUCCACCUCCCUUCCCUCUUAACUCAAAUUAGCACGGUAUUAAUUAACACUGUAGUCUAUCAACCGGCGUUCCUCGGCACACUGCAAAGGCAGGGUUUGUGUAGAACAAAGAAAACAACAACAAACACUAACGUUCAUUUUAUUUUCCAAGGGCCACCAAACAAAUCCUUCGUCAUCCCUCACAAACCGGAAGGCGGACGUCCAAGAAUCAGACAUCUGGAGAUAAUGAUACGGCAUGACAAUCACACAAAAAAGAUGCAGGACUUUUCUAACUUGAUCUGAAGAUGCCAGGCAAGGUGUGUUCUCUGCCACUAAGGUCUCCUACAGCUACCUGCUUCUCAUCUGCUCCAGUCUCAUGAAUUUUAUCUUCACAUUCUUCCCAACCCAUGAUAUCAAAUUCCUUCCCCACUCCACCCUCUUAAAUGUGUAAGGUUUCAAUCCAUCAUCUGGCUACUGUUUGGAUGUGUUGGUAUAGGUUUCUUUCAGAAUGGCUGUUUUGAAACCAAAGAGGACAGUAUCCAACACGGUAUCCAUCACGGUAUCCAACAGUAUCCAUCACAAUCUGAAUCCUCCCUCAUCUCUUGCCAAAAACUCAGGCAGUGUCAAUUUGUAAAAUACUGAAAGAGUGGCAAUCAGAGCAAGAGGAUAGUACCAUUAUCAGCAGAUGCUGCAAAGAAGAAGAAGAAGAAGAAGAAGAAGAAGAAGAAGAAGAAGAAGAAGAAGAAGCUGUAAACAUUUUAUUUUAUGCCGACCCCUUUUGAAUAACUUGUUUGACUUGGCACUAGUUGUUUUUGCUCCCAUGGCAAAACAACAGUAGCCACAAGAACAGAGAAGCAGGACUUGGUAAAGGCUUCAGGCUGCUCUUGGGAAAGGACAAGCCGUAAACCAGCUGAAGAGCUGCAAGGAUUAUCCUCAUUGGGGGAUAGAGAAGACAUGCAGAGAACUCCUGGAUUCCCUGUUGCAAUAUUUUUCUCUUGUCUAUGCAGACCAUGGCUUGUUUUAACUGCCUGUCAUGCCUAACCAUCACAAUACAAUGACCACUCUGUUUCGUUUAUUAAUUUUUCUCCCUUUCUCUCUCUUCUCCGGAUUGGGUAUACAUUGUUUUUGAGAUGCAGAUUCAGAUGCACGGGGAUUCAGAGUGCUCUUAGACAUGUCACUGCCACUGGAUUUUCAGCUGGACUCUUUUGCCAAAUUAGCUGCUGUACUAGAACUUAGAAGACCUGAGUUCAAAUUCCCACUUGGCCAUGGAAACUCAUGGGGUGGGUGUCGAACUGUUAAAACCACUGCUUAAAUAACUCACAUAUCUUGGAAACUGUUAUAAGCCAGCUCCAAAUUGAUAGUACAUAAUAUAAUCAUAUAGAGUGGACAACCACAACAAGCUGUCUCACAAGUGUGGAAGUCAUGUAGCUGCUAGAGAGCACAUUUUUGUAGCCACCAGGCUCCUCCCAUCUGCCCUAGAUGGCCCCUUAAUUGAAAAGAAGAAGAAGAAGAAGAAGAAGAAGAAGAAGAAGAAGAAGAAGAAGAAGCUGCACCUUGUUUUGCCCCUCCCCCAGGAGUUCUAAUUUGAUGGAAGCAUGUUUAAUAUAACUUAAGCAUGAAUGGGUUCAUGGGUUUUUAAGGGUUGUUCAUUCAGAAUUGCUAUUUUGUGUGGGCAUUCACAACUUGCUUGACUGUCAACUAUCGUAUUCUGGAACAAUUAUUGUAUUUCAUGACUGUAUUCUGGAACAACAACCCAUGAACUUAUCUAGGCUUCUUAUUUGUUUACAAAUAAAAGGACAGUCAUCACAUAUUCA